rnacentral:misc_RNA from 1 species
UCCGGUUUGGCACCGGCAGUCUUCGUAGAGUCCCCGCCAUAACCCGCUGGCAACAUGGAACGAGGGUUGCGCUCGUUGCGGGACUUAACCCAACAUCUCACGACACGAGCUGACGACAACCAUGCACCACCUGUAAACCGGCCACAAGUGGCUGACGCAUCUCUGCGCCAUUCCGGUUCAUGUCAAGCCUUGGUAAGGUUCUUCGCGUUGCAUCGAAUUAAUCCGCAUGCUCCGCCGCUUGUGCGGGCCCCCGUCAAUUCCUUUGAGUUUCAGCCUUGCGGCCGUACUCCUCAGGCGGGGCACUUAAUGCGUUAGCGCCGGCACUCGGAGGGUCGCUCCCCCAAGCACCUAGUGCCCAUCGUUUACGGCGUGGACUAC